UACGUAGGGUGCGAGCGUUAAUCGGAAUUACUGGGCGUAAAGCGUGCGCAGGCGGUUUUGUAAGCCAGAUGUGAAAUCCCCGGGCUCAACCUGGGAAUGGCAUUUGGGACUGCAAGGCUGGAGUGCGGCAGAGGAGACUGGAAUUCCUGGUGUAGCAGUGAAAUGCGUAGAUAUCAGGAGGAAUACCGAUGGCGAAGGCAGGUCUCUGGGCUGACACUGACGCUCAUGCACGAAAGCGUGGUGAGCAAACAGG
rnacentral:rRNA from 1 species